UGUGUGCAUAUAUGUAUUUCACUGUCGUCUGCGCUUCGACGUCGCCUGAACGGGCACACAGACCCACUGCAGAAGGCAAACAUCGUUGGCCCGCCG
rnacentral:lncRNA from 1 species